UACGUAGGGUCCGAGCGUUAAUCGGAAUUACUGGGCGUAAAGCGUGCGCAGGCGGUUUUGUAAGCCAGAUGUGAAAGCCCCGGGCUCAACCUGGGAACUGCAUUUGGGACUGCAAAGCUGGAGUACGGCAGAGGGAGGUGGAAUUCCACGUGUAGCAGUGAAAUGCGUAGAGAUGUGGAGGAACACCGAUGGCGAAGGCAGCCUCCUGGGCCAGCACUGACGCUCAUGCACGAAAGCGUGGGGAGCAAACAGG
rnacentral:rRNA from 1 species